rnacentral:rRNA from 1 species
UACGUAGGGUGCAAGCGUUGUCCGGAAUUAUUGGGCGUAAAGAGCCCGUAGGCGGUCUGUCGCGUCUGCUGUGAAAACUCGGGGCUUAACCCCGGGCCUGCAGUGGGUACGGGCAGACUAGAGUGCGGUAGGGGAGACUGGAAUUCCUGGUGUAGCGGUGAAAUGCGCAGAUAUCAGGAGGAACACCGGUGGCGAAGGCGGGUCUCUGGGCCGUAACUGACGCUGAGGAGCGAAAGCAUGGGGAGCGAACAGG